AUAAAGGGCACAACUUCCAAAUUAGUAGAGGGGACAAAAUGGAAUAAAGAUGGAAAACAGAUCCCCAGAAGUCUAAAAUACGAAGAAGAACCAAGACUAAGUAGAAGAGAACAUGAUAUUUCUCCAGUCUCCGGUUAACAUCUUCAAGAAUCAAGACGACGGGCGGGGAGAUACCUCAUGAAAUGCAUCGGGAUUCCCAGGAUUAAAAAGCGAGGGUAACUUUUCUUCUAAUCCUUGUACUAUUUGUGGCCAAACAGAAUUCACCAAAAAGUCAUAUCCAGGAACAGUAUUGCCUUUUUCACUGUAAAAUAAGGGCACAUAUCAGUAAAAUAUACCAUAAUCUACUUACAAAGA